GGGUUGUGAGGUUAAGCGACUAAGCGUACACGGUGGAUGCCCUGGCAGUCAGAGGCGAUGAAGGACGUGCUAAUCUGCGAAAAGCGUCGGUAAGGUGAUAUGAACCGUUACAGCCGGCGAUGUCCGAAUGGGGAAACCCAGUGUGAUUCGUCACACUAUCGUUAACUGAAUACAUAGGUUAACGAGGCGAACCGGGGGAACUGAAACAUCUAAGUACCCCGAGGAAAAGAAAUCAACCGAGAUUCCCCCAGUAGCGGCGAGCGAACGGGGAGCAGCCCAGAGUCUGAAUCAGCUUGUGUGUUAGUGGAACGGUCUGGAAAGUCCGACGGUACAGGGUGAUAGUCCCGUACACCAAAAUACACAGGUUGUGAACUCGAAGAGUAGGGCGGGACACGUGGUAUCCUGUCUGAAUAUGGGGGGACCAUCCUCCAAGGCUAAAUACUCCUGACUGACCGAUAGUGAACCAGUACCGUGAGGGAAAGGCGAAAAGAACCCCGGCGAGGGGAGUGAAAAAGAACCUGAAACCGUGUACGUACAAGCAGUGGGAGCACCUUAGGGUGUGACUGCGUACCUUUUGUAUAAUGGGUCAGCGACUUAUAUUCUGUAGCAAGGUUAACCGUAUAGGGGAGCCGCAGGGAAACCGAGUCUUAACUGGGCGUUAAGUUGCAGGGUAUAGACCCGAAACCCGGUGAUCUAGCCAUGGGCAGGUUGAAGGUUGGGUAACACUAACUGGAGGACCGAACCGACUAAUGUUGAAAAAUUAGCGGAUGACUUGUGGCUGGGGGUGAAAGGCCAAUCAAACCGGGAGAUAGCUGGUUCUCCCCGAAAGCUAUUUAGGUAGCGCCUCGUGAACUCAUCUUCGGGGGUAGAGCACUGUUUCGGCUAGGGGGUCAUCCCGACUUACCAACCCGAUGCAAACUACGAAUACCGAAGAAUGUUAUCACGGGAGACACACGGCGGGUGCUAACGUCCGUCGUGAAGAGGGAAACAACCCAGACCGCCAGCUAAGGUCCCAAAGUCAUGGUUAAGUGGGAAACGAUGUGGGAAGGCACAGACAGCCAGGAUGUUGGCUUAGAAGCAGCCAUCAUUUAAAGAAAGCGUAAUAGCUCACUGGUCGAGUCGGCCUGCGCGGAAGAUGUAACGGGGCUAAACCAUGCACCGAAGCUGCGGCAGCGACGCUUAUGCGUUGUUGGGUAGGGGAGCGUUCUGUAAGCCUGCGAAGGUGGCCUGUGAGGGUUGCUGGAGGUAUCAGAAGUGCGAAUGCUGACAUAAGUAACGAUAAAGCGGGUGAAAAGCCCGCUCGCCGGAAGACCAAGGGUUCCUGUCCAACGUUAAUCGGGGCAGGGUGAGUCGACCCCUAAGGCGAGGCCGAAAGGCGUAGUCGAUGGGAAACAGGUUAAUAUUCCUGUACUUGGUGUUACUGCGAAGGGGGGACGGAGAAGGCUAUGUUAGCCGGGCGACGGUUGUCCCGGUUUAAGCAUGUAGGCGGAGGUUCCAGGUAAAUCCGGUACCUUUUAACGCUGAGGUGUGAUGACGAGGCACUACGGUGCUGAAGUAACAAAUGCCCUGCUUCCAGGAAAAGCCUCUAAGCAUCAGGUAACAUUAAAUCGUACCCCAAACCGACACAGGUGGUCAGGUAGAGAAUACCAAGGCGCUUGAGAGAACUCGGGUGAAGGAACUAGGCAAAAUGGUGCCGUAACUUCGGGAGAAGGCACGCUGGUGUGUAGGUGAAGUCCCUGCGGACGGAGCUGAGACCAGUCGAAGAUACCAGCUGGCUGCAACUGUUUAUUAAAAACACAGCACUGUGCAAACACGAAAGUGGACGUAUACGGUGUGACGCCUGCCCGGUGCCGGAAGGUUAAUUGAUGGGGUUAUCCGUAAGGAGAAGCUCUUGAUCGAAGCCCCGGUAAACGGCGGCCGUAACUAUAACGGUCCUAAGGUAGCGAAAUUCCUUGUCGGGUAAGUUCCGACCUGCACGAAUGGCGUAAUGAUGGCCAGGCUGUCUCCACCCGAGACUCAGUGAAAUUGAACUCGCUGUGAAGAUGCAGUGUACCCGCGGCAAGACGGAAAGACCCCGUGAACCUUUACUAUAGCUUGACACUGAACAUUGAGCCUUGAUGUGUAG
rnacentral:rRNA from 1 species